GACGAACGCUGGCGGCGUGCCUAAUACAUGCAAGUCGAACGCUGAAGGAGGAGCUUGCUUCUCUGGAUGAGUUGCGAACGGGUGAGUAACGCGUAGGUAACCUGCCUGGUAGCGGGGGAUAACUAUUGGAAACGAUAGCUAAUACCGCAUCAGAGUAGAUGUUGCAUGACCUUUGCUUAAAAGGUGCAAUUGCCUCACUACCAGAUGGAGCUGCGUUGUAUUAGCUAGUUGGUGGGGUAACGGCUCACCAAGGCGACGAUACAUAGCCGAACUGAGAGGGUGGACGGCCAAAAUGGGAACUAGACAAGGCCCAGACCUCUAAGGGAAGGAGCAAGAGGGGAACUUCGGGAAUGGGCGGAAAGCCGGACGAGCAAAGGCGGGUGAGGGAAGAAAGUUUUCGGGUCGGAAAGGCCCGUUGUUAGGGGAGAAAGAGUGUGAGGGGGGAAAGUUCACAGUGUGACGGUAUCUAACCAGAAAGCGACGGCUAACUACGUG
rnacentral:rRNA from 1 species